rnacentral:rRNA from 1 species
GACGAACGCUGGCGGCGUGCUUAACACAUGCAAGUCGAACGGAAAGGCCCUGCUUGCAGGGUACUCGAGUGGCGAACGGGUGAGUAACACGUGGGUGAUCUGCCCUGCACUUCGGGAUAAGCCUGGGAAACUGGGUCUAAUACCGGAUAGGAGCCAUUUUUAGUGUGAUGGUUGGAAAGUUUUUUUCGGUGUAGGUUGAGCUCGCGGCCUAUCAGCUUGUUGGUGGGGUAAUGGCCUACCAAGGCGGCGACGGGUAGCCGGCCUGAGAGGGUGGACGGCCACAUUGGGACUGAGAUACGGCCCAGACUCCUACGGGGGGCAGCAGUGGGGAAUAUUGCACAAUGGGCGCAAGCCUGAUGCAGCGACGCCGCGUGGGGGAUGACGGCCUUCGGGUUGUAAACUCCUUUCGCUAGGGACGAAGCUUUUUGUGACGGUACCUAGAUAAGAAGCACCGGCUAACUACGUG